UGGGCUGAUAAGGAACAGGGCUAUUAGGAUAAUAGCAUUGUGGCAACAAUGAAAUGGUUAUCCUAUCAAUAAUGCUAUACACUGCACCAAAUAAUUAUAUACCAGACAGACUACCCUUAAAGUAUGGGUACAUACAUGAGUAGGGUACAAUGAAUUGGGAAAAAACCAGGUGAUUUGCUAGAAUGUCCAGUAGUCUUUUUGAAAUGCCGUCAAAAGUGGGUAGACUACACCCCAUAGCAACUCCCCCUUAUGGGUUCCUGCCCACUCUCUAAAACAAGUGCAUCAAGUUUCAACCUAGUCACUACCAAGGGCACUACCCACCAGGAAUAUUUCCUGCAUGAUCCACCUCAUCAAGACUGGCACCCCAUCUACUCAGUAACUAGAAGACAACAAACAAACAGAAUAAUUUGUAAAGAAAUAAGGUUCAUAUUAAAUAAUAGUCUGAUGUGUUUUAAACUUUUACAUUUUUCAAAAGCAUUCGUAUUAAAUUUAAGUAUUUUAACAAUGCAUGAGAGAAAAAUGAGAGAAAAAUUCACUUUUAUCGCAACUUCCAGAAGGGUUCCCCUUUGCUACUUUCCUCUCUCGCUACACAUGCUACUCAGUAGCUAAAAAUACAUACCUGUGAACUCUCCUGCAUUAAGUGAGAUUUUGGACGCAUUCUCCCACUCUCCCACGUGGAGUAACAAAUCUUCCGCUUUUAGCAAUUUUUAUUGCUUCCGAAAAAAAAUCAACAUUUUGCCUAUUUUCUAUAAAAAGAUACUAAUUGAAACAGUAAUUCCCCCUUGCAUAGCACAAUUUAUCUAACAAACUUGUGAGAUUUAUAUGUGAAUUUGUGUGCAAGAGCUUUCUGUACAGCAAACACCUGUAAAUGUACCCCCCCCCCCCCCCCCCCAAAUAAAUGAACAUACUCCUCCAGGUAUGAAAAUAGGAGGUCCACAUUGCUUUUCAGUCUUCUUUUAGAAAUAGGCUAAAAUAGGGUGGGUACACAAGUUGGAUUUACAUACAAAAAUGAUGCUGUCACAACACAAAAAUAAGACACACCUGGAGGCAUCCAAGUCUACCAUGAAAUGCUGAGCAGUGCACUGCUGUCCAACCCAUGUUAUCUGUAGCAUUCACAUCCUGAAGAGAUGUAACACUUAUCAAACAAAAUCCAAAUAAUAAAUUUGUCUAUACAGUAGUUAAUCAAAACUUAUAUAUUUAUCUCUAUAUAUUUAUACAUCUCCUGAUGAGUGGGCAAUUACGAAACAGGCUUGUAGAGAUGAAUGGGUAGUUCCCAUGUUUUUUCCUACAAACCAAGAUAUAUCCAACUCUACCCCUGUGUAUAAUGACACCAUGAGGCAUAACUUAAAGCAUUAAUCUCACUUAAUUUUUUUAUUAUUCACUUACCACUCCAUGCCUAAGAAUGGACUGCAAAGUGUAGGAGUUGCCAUGAGAUGCUGCAAGAUGGGCAGGUGAACAGCCUUGAGACAGAAAGUGAGUCAAUACAAGAUAUCCAGUCAAGUGACAUCCCAAGGAGGGGUGUUCCAGAAUCCCUGGGACACCACCUGGAUGCGUUUCUAGGAAGUUAUAGACAGUACACUGUAGUAAGCACCACACAUUCAAUGAGAUUACAGGCAUUAAACUACAACAGGUAAUCAGCACAUUAGUGACACAAAGUUGGAAAGGGUGAUCUCUUUGGCUGGAAAUGGUAAUUUAAGUAAGCUACAUACCUCUGUUGUCUUUAGCAUUAAGAUCAGCUCCAUUAGCAGCUAAAGCCUGCAAAUAGUGAAAAAGAAAGGCAGGCUGUUUACAAUGCAAGUAUUGUUUGUUAUGUAAACCUUAGCAAAAAUCCUUAGUCAUAAGUGCCAUCACAAUUUCAUUUAUCGCCAAUAUUAUCCUUAUACACCAAAACACAUCAUACACAGACAAGAAAAGGCACGGAGUGCACAUGUGACUGAAAAGAAGUGUAAAAUCAUACAAAUUAAACAUUGCAGCU